rnacentral:misc_RNA from 1 species
UUAAGUUCAGCGGGUAGUCCUACCUGAUUUGAGGUCGAAUUUGUCAGACACGGAACCCCGAAGGGCCGAUACGAUCGUAGAUUUCCCCUUACACGGCUUUUCUCAGACGACGCAGAUAACUAUCACAUCGACGAUACUUUGCCAAGGACCGGAAAGCUCAUGCAUUCGAGAGGAGCCGACAAGCGUGCACGGAGCACGCA